rnacentral:rRNA from 7 species
GUAACGGAGGCGCCCAAAGGUUCCCUCAGAAUGGUUGGAAAUCAUUCGUAGAGUGCAAAGGCAUAAGGGAGCUUGACUGCGAGACCUACAAGUCGAGCAGGGACGAAAGUCGGGCUUAGUGAUCCGGUGGUUCCGCAUGGAAGGGCCAUCGCUCAACGGAUAAAAGCUACCCCGGGGAUAACAGGCUUAUCUCCCCCAAGAGUCCACAUCGACGGGGAGGUUUGGCACCUCGAUGUCGGCUCAUCGCAUCCUGGGGCUGUAGUCGGUCCCAAGGGUUGGGCUGUUCGCCCAUUAAAGCGGUACGCGAGCUGGGUUCAGAACGUCGUGAGACAGUUCGGUCCCUAUCCGUCGUGGGCGUAGGAAAUUUGAGAGGAGCUGUCCUUAGUACGAGAGGACCGGGAUGGACGCACCGCUGGUGUACCAGUUGUUCUGCCAAGGGCAUAGCUGGGUAGCUAUGUGCGGAAGGGAUAAGUGCUGAAAGCAUCUAAGCAUGAAGCCCCCCUCAAGAUGAGAUUUCCCAUAGCGUAAGCUAGUAAGAUCCCUGAAAGAUGAUCAGGUUGAUAGGUUCGAGGUGGAAGCAUGGUGACAUGUGGAGCUGACGAAUACUAAUAGAUCGAGGACUUAACCAUAUAA